GACGAACGCUGGCGGCGUGCCUAAUACAUGCAAGUCGAACGCAGUGGGGACGGGUGAGUAACACGUGGGUAACCUCCCAUCAGAGGGGAUAACACUUGGAAACAGGUGCUAAACCGAUACUGAUGGAUGGACCCGCGGUGCAUUAGCUAGUUGGUGUGGUAACGGCUCACCAAGGCAACGAUGCAUAGCGGACCGGAGCAGGUGCUCGGCGACACUGGGACGAGGACACGGCCCAGACUCCUACGGGAGGCAGCAGUAGGGAGUCUUCGGCAAUGGACAAAAGUGUGACCGAGCAACGCCGCGUGAGUGAAGAGGGUUUUGUGAUCUUAAAACUCUGUUGUUAGAGAAGCGGUAUCUAACCAGAAAGCCACGGCUAACUACGUGCCAGCCGCCGCGGUAAUUC
rnacentral:rRNA from 1 species